rnacentral:rRNA from 1 species
UACGAAGGGGGCUAGCGUUGCUCGGAAUCACUGGGCGUAAAGGGUGCGUAGGCGGGUUUUUAAGUCAGGGGUGAAAUCCUGGAGCUCAACUCCAGAACUGCCUUUGAUACUGAAGAUCUCGAGUCCGGGAGAGGUGAGUGGAACUGCGAGUGUAGAGGUGAAAUUCGUAGAUAUUCGCAAGAACACCAGUGGCGAAGGCGGCGACCUGGGCAGAUACUGACGCUGAGGUGCGAAAGCGUGGGGAGCAAACAGG